rnacentral:rRNA from 1 species
AUUGAACGCUGGCGGCAUGCUUUACACAUGCAAGUCUAACGGUAACAGGCCGCAAGGUGCUGACGAGUGGCGAACGGGUGAGUAAUGCAUCGGAACGUGCCCAGUCGUGGGGGAUAACGCAGCGAAAGCUGUGAUAAUACCGCAUACGAUCUAUGGAUGAAAGCGGGGGACCGUAAGGCCUCGCGCGAUUGGAGCGGCCGAUGUCAGAUUAGGUAGUUGGUGGGGUAAAGGCUCACCAAGCAAACGAUCUGUAGCUGGCAUGAGAGGACGACCAGCCGCACUGGGACUGAGACACGGCCCAGACUCCUACGGGAGGCAGCAGUGGGGAAUUUUGGACAAUGGGCGCAAGCCUGAUCCAGCAAUGCCGCGUGCAGGAAGAAGGCCUUCGGGUUGUAAACUGCUUUUGUACGGAACGAAAAGGUUUGGGUUAAUACCCUGGGCCGAUGACGGUACCGUAAGAAUAAGCACCGGCUAACUACGUGCCAGCAGCCGCCGUAA